GACGAACGCUGGCGGCGUGCUUAACACAUGCAAGUCGAACGGAAAGGCCCUGCUUUUGUGGGGUGCUCGAGUGGCGAACGGGUGCGUAACACGUGAGUAACCUGCCCCUGUCUUUGGGAUAACUUCAGGAAACUGGGGCUAAUACCGGACCGGAGCUCCUGCUGCAUGGUGGGGGUUGGAACGUUUCGGCGGUUGGGGAUGGACUCGCGGCUUAUCAGCUUGUUGGUGGGGUAGUGGCUUACCAAGGCUUUGACGGGUAGCCGGCCUGAGAGGGUGACCGGCCACAUUGGGACUGAGAUACGGCCCAGACUCCUACGGGAGGCAGCAGUGGGGAAUAUUGCACAAUGGGCGGAAGCCUGAUGCAGCAACGCCGCGUGCGGGAUGACGGCCUUCGGGUUGUAAACCGCUUUCGCCUGUGACGAAGCGUGAGUGACGGUAAUGGGUAAAGAAGCACCGGCUAACUACGUG
rnacentral:rRNA from 1 species